UGAUGAAGAUGACGAUGAUGAUGAUGAAGAAGAAGAAAACCCAGAUUUGGAAAAACUGACAUCGCGUUCGCCGCGCCCGCCGCCGAUCUCGUUGCGGAAAUGAGGACAACUCAACAACAACUCAUUGCUGGUGUCAUCACCUAAAUCCUGCUCCAAAUUUUCUUUGGAAUUUAAAUUUUCCAAACUGGAGAAAAUUUUGGGAUCGGAACCGGCGGAAGCGGCCGAAGCUCCCGUGGUCGUGUUGCGCCGUUGGGUUCCCGUCGAGGAUCCGACGGAAACGGCUUCGAAAAAAAUGCUCUGAACGUCGAAAUGAGCGAAACUUUUGCGCCAAAUCCAAGAUUUUGGAGCUUCUGGAAGUUUGGGAUCUUCGGGAUCUUUGGGAUUGAGGAGUUUUUUGAAGAUGGAAUCGUCGGGUUUUAAACGGCGCCGGGGUUUUUCUUUCGGAGCUUGGGGUUGAUCCGAAUUUGGAUCGGGAUUUUGAUUGGAAUUUUGGGAAUUUUGGGGUUUUUUGGUUCGGAAUUCGUUGAGGAUUUCAUAAAAACUCUGCUCUGGGAUUCCUUGGAUGUCGAUGGAGGAGGUGCUGCCGUACUCGCGGAACAAUCCGGCGGAAUUCCCGGAAUUCCCGCGGAUUUCCGGGAUUUCUUCGGGAUCGCAUUCGCUCAAAGUGACUUCGCUGCUGCUCCUUUGUCUCAAAGGAAUUCCCAAAAAUCCUUCUUGGAAUUCCAGAUCUUUCCAAUGAGGGACCAAGCGGCGAUGGAAGGGUUUGAAUGGAGCUUGGGAAGGUUGGGAAUUGCGGGAAAUUCCGGAAUAUUCUUUGGAGCGCGGGGGCCACUCGGCCACGCGGGCGCGGACGCCCAUCUUGGGCACCGGGGGGAUCUCGGAGCGUUGGGAGGUCAUGGUCACCCAAAAGGGAAUUGGGGAGUUUGGAAGUUCUGGAGAUCCUGGAGGUCCAGGAGGUCCAAGAGGUCCAGGAGGUUCUGGAGGUCUGGGAGGUCCUGGAGGUCCAGAAGGUUCAGAAGAUCCAGAAGGUCAAGGAGGUCCUGGAGGUCCUGGAGGUUCAGAAGAUCCAGAAGGGUCAAGGAGGUUCAGGAGGUCCAGAAGAUCCAGGAGUUCCAGAGGACCUGGAGGUUCAGGAGGUUCAGGAGAUCAAGGAGGUUCAGAAGAUCCAGGAGAUCCAGAAGGUUCAGGAGGUUCAGGAGGUGCAGAAGAUCCAGGAGUUCCAGAGGACCUGGAGGUUCAGGAGAUCAAGGAGAUCCAGAAGAUCCAGGAGGUGCAGGAGGUCAAGGAGGUUCAGAAGCUCCAGGAGAUCCAGAAGAUCCAGAAGGGUCAAGGAGGUUCAGGAGGUUCAGGAGGUCCAGGAGGUCAGGGAGGUUCAGAAGCUCCAGGAGAUGCUGAAGGUUCAGGAGAUCCAGAAGAUCCAGAAGGUCCAGAAAGUCCAGAAGAUCCAGAAGGUUCAGAAGAUCCAGGAGGUCCAGGAGGUCCUGGAGGUUCAGAAGGUCAAGGAGGUCCAGAAGCUCCAGAAGCUCCAGAAGGUCAGGGAGGUUCAGAAGGUUCAGGAGAUGCAGAAGGUGCAGGAGCUCAGGGAGGUUCAGGAGAUCCCCAGGGCCCGGAGCUCCAGGAGCUCAUGGCAGGAAGCGGCGGCGGCGGCGCAUGCUGGGAGGGCUGGGGGGAAAAAGGACAAAAAUUCAGGAUUUUAUCCCAAAAAUUGAGGGAAUUUAUCCCAAAAAUUGAGGGAAUUUUAGCCAAAAAUUUCAGGAUUUUAUCCAAAAAUUGAGGGAAUUUUAUCAAAAAAA
ensembl:lncRNA